rnacentral:sRNA from 2 species
AAAGCGAGAAAGCGUUGCCGCAGGCAACGACCCGAAGGGCGAAGCGCGCAGCGCUGAGUCAUCCUUCCCCCACCACCA